rnacentral:rRNA from 1 species
UCAAGCUACAAAGGGCGCAUGGUGAAUGCCUUGGCAUCAGGAGCCGAUGAAGGACGUGAUAAGCUGCGAUAAGCUUCGGGUAGGCGCACAUAGCCUGAGAUCCGAAGAUCUCCGAAUGAGGAAACUCACAUGGGAAACCCCAUGUAUCAUUAAGUGAAUACAUAGCUUAAUGAAGGUAACCCAGGGAACUGAAACAUCUAAGUACCUGGAGGAAGAGAAAGAAAAAUCGAUUUUCUUAGUAGCGGCGAGCGAAAGGGAAAGAGCCCAAACCGGAAACUUGUUUCCGGGGUUGUGGACAUAGCAUAAAAGUGGAGGCUAUUGUAACUGAAGAGAACUGGAAAGUUCCACCGUAGAAGGUAAUAGUCCUGUAAGUGAAACGAGAAGACCACGAGUUAUGAUCCAGAGUACCACGAGACACGUGAAACCUUGUGGGAAGCAGGGAGGACCACCUCCCAAGGCUAAAUACUACCUGAUGACCGAUAGUGAAGCAGUACCGUGAGGGAAAGGUGAAAAGAACCCCGGGAGGGGAGUGAAAUAGAACCUGAAACCGUGUGCCUACAACCGCUCAGAGCCCCUUAUGAGGGUGAUGAGGUGCUUUUUGUAGAACGAGCCAACGAGUUACGGUAUGUAGCAAGGUUAAGUACUUAAGGUACGGAGCCGAAGGGAAACCGAGUCUGAAUAGGGCGACUAGUUGCAUGCCGUAGACCCGAAACCGGGUGACCUAUCCAUGGCCAGGUUGAAGCGAGGGUAAAACCUCGUGGAGGACCGAACCACGUUGCUGUUGAAAAAGCAUGGGAUGAGCUGUGGAUAGCGGAGAAAUUCCAAUCGAACCCGGAGAUAGCUGGUUCUCUCCGAAUAGCUUUAGGGCUAGCGUCGAGUAUGAGUAGUGGAGGUAGAGCACUGAAUGGGCUAGGGGGCAUAGCGCUUACCGAACCUUAUCAAACUCCGAAUGCCACAUACUUUGAGCUCGGCAGUCAGACUACGAAUGAUAAGAUCCGUGGUCAAAAGGGAAACAGCCCAGAUCGUCAGCUAAGGUCCCAAAGUGUAAGUUAAGUGGGAAAGGAUGUGAGAUUUCUAAGACAACUAGGAUGUUGGCUUAGAAGCAGCCAUUCAUUAAAAGAGUGCGUAAUAGCUCACUAGUCGAGAGAUCUUGCGCCGAAAAUGUAACGGGGCUAAACUUACCACCGAAGCUACGGGCUUGAACUUAGUUCAAGCGGUAGGAGAGCGUCGUAACCGGGCUGAAGUCGUACCGUAAGGAGCGGUGGACUGGUUACGAGUGAGAAUGUUGGCAUCAGUAGCGAGAUGUGGGUGAGAAUCCCACAGGCCGAAAACCUAAGGUUUCCUCAGGAAGUUCGUCCGCUGAGGGUUAGUCGGGACCUAAGCCGAGGCCGAAAGGCGUAGGUGAUGGACAACUGGUUGAUAUUCCAGUACCACUACCAUCGUUAUUAUCGAUGGCGUGACGCAGGAGGAUAGUGUGUGCUAGCUAUUGGAUGCUAGUCUAAGCGUUUAGGCAGUGAGAGUAGGCAAAUCCGCUCUCAUAAUGCUGAGGCGUGAUGGGGAAGGUUCCACGGAACCGAAGUACAUGAUUCCACGCUGCCAAGAAAAGCGUCUAGAGAGAGAAGUAGUGCCCGUACCGCAAACCGACACAGGUAGGUGAGGAGAGAAUCCUAAGGCCGGCGGAAGAAUUACAGUUAAGGAACUCGGCAAAUUGACCCCGUAAGUUCGCGAGAAGGGGUGCCUACGAGAGUAGGCCGCAGAGAAUAGGCCCCAAGCAACUGUUUAGCAAAAACACAGGUCUCUGCUAAAGCGUAAGCUGAUGUAUAGGGGCUGACGCCUGCCCGGUGCUGGAAGGUUAAGGGGAACACUUAGCGCAAGCGAAGGUGUGAACUUAAGCCCCAGUAAACGGCGGCCGUAACUAUAACGGUCCUAAGGUAGCGAAAUUCCUUGUCAGGUAAGUUCUGACCCGCACGAAUGGCGUAAUGACUUGGGCACUGUCUCAACUGUAAAUCCGGCGAAGUUGUUGUAGUGCGAGUGAAGAUGCUCGCUACCCGCGAUUGGACGGAAAGACCCCGUAGAGCUUUACUGUAGCUUAGCAUUGAGUUUUGGUAUUGUCUGUACAGGAUAGGUGGGAGACUAGGAAACCAGGGCGUCAGCCUUGGUGGAGUCAACCUUGGGAUACCACCCUGACAGUACUGAAAUUCUAACUGGCGGCCAUGAAUCUGGUCACAGGACAUUGUUAGGUGGGCAGUUUGACUGGGGCGGUCGCCUCCUAAAAAGUAACGGAGGCGCCCAAAGGUUCCCUCAGAACGGUCGGAAAUCGUUCGAAGAGUGCAAAGGCAGAAGGGAGCCUGACUGCGACACCACAAGUGGAGCAGGGACGAAAGUCGGGCUUAGUGAUCCGGUGGUACCUCGUGGGAGGGCCAUCGCUCAACGGAUAAAAGCUACCUCGGGGAUAACAGGCUGAUCUCCCCCAAGAGUCCACAUCGACGGGGAGGUUUGGCACCUCGAUGUCGGCUCGUCGCAUCCUGGGGCUGAAGUAGGUCCCAAGGGUUGGGCUGUUCGCCCAUUAAAGCGGCACGCGAGCUGGGUUCAGAACGUCGUGAGACAGUUCGGUCCCUAUCCGUCGCGGGCGUAGGAAAUUUGAGAGGAGCUGUCCUUAGUACGAGAGGACCGGGAUGGACUGACCUCUGGUGUACCAGUUGUUCCGCCAGGAGCACAGCUGGGUAGCUAAGUCGGGAAUG